UACAGAGACUGCGAGCGUUAUUCGGAUUCACUGGGCGUAAAGGGCACGCAGGCGGUGCGGCGCGUUUCGCGUGACAGCGGAGGGCUUAACUCUCCGAGGAUGCGAAAGACGGCGGCACUUGAGGGCCAGAGAGGGACACGGAAUUCCGGGUGGAGUGGUGAAAUGCGUAGAGAUCCGGAGGAACACCGAAGGCGAAGGCAGUGUCCUGGCUGGUGACUGACGCUGAGGUGCGAAAGCUAGGGGAGCGAACGGG
rnacentral:rRNA from 1 species